GAUGAACGCUGGCGGCGUGCCUAAUACAUGCAAGUCGAGCGAACAGACGAGGAGCUUGCUCCUCUGACGUUAGCGGCGGACGGGUGAGUAACACGUGGAUAACCUACCUAUAAUACUGGGAUAACUUCGGGAAACCGGAGCUAAUACCGGAUAAUAUAUUGAACCGCAUGGUUCAAUAGUGAAAGACGGUUUUGCUGUCACUUAUAGAUGGAUCCGCGCCGGAUUAGCUAGUUGGUAAGGUAACGGCUUACCAAGGCAACGAUGCGUAGCCGACCUGAGAGGGUGAUCGGCCACACUGGAACUGAGACACGGUCCAGACUCCUACGGGAGGCAGCAGUAGGGAAUCUUCCGCAAUGGGCGAAAGCUUGACGGAGCAACGCCGCGUGAGUGAUGAAGGUCUUCGGAUCGUAAAACUCUGUUAUUAGGGAAGAACAAAUGUGUAAGUAACUAUGCACGUCUUGACGGUACCUAAUCAGUAAGCCACGGCUAACUACGUG
rnacentral:rRNA from 1 species